GGGGAAUCUUCCGCAAUGGGCGCAAGCCUGACGGAGCAACGCCGCGUGAGUGAAGAAGGUUUUCGGAUUGUAAAACUCUGUCCAAAGGGAAGAACGAAAUGACGGUACCUUUGGAGGAAGCCCCGGCUAACUACGUGCCAGCAGCCGCGGUAAAACGUAGGGGGCAAGCGUUGUCCGGAAUUACUGGGCGUAAAGGGCGUGUAGGCGGCCUGCGCAAGUCAGUCGUGAAACCCACCGGCUCAACUGGUGGCUUGCGAUUGAAACUGCCGGGCUUGAGUACAGAAGAGGGGAGUGGAAUUCCCAGUGUAGCGGUGAAAUGCGUAGAUAUUGGGAGGAACACCAGUGGCGAAAGCGGCUCCCUGGCCUGUAACUGACGCUGAGGCGCGAAAGCGUGGGUAGCAAAC
rnacentral:rRNA from 1 species